rnacentral:rRNA from 1 species
UACGAAGGGUGCUAGCGUUGUUCGGAAUCACUGGGCGUAAAGCGCGCGUAGGCGGCUUCUCAAGUCAGGGGUGAAAUCCUUGGGCUCAACCCGAAGAAUUGCCUCUGAAACUGUGAAGCUGGAGUACUGGAGGGGAUAGCGGAAUUCCUAAUGUAGAGGUGAAAUUCGUAGAUAUUAGGAGGAACACCGGUGGCGAAGGCGGCUAUCUGGACAGUAACUGACGCUGAGGCGCGAAAGUGUGGGGAUCAAACAGG